GCGCUGCAAGCUCAAACGGCAAGAGCACUCGCCUCUUAAGCGAGGGGCUGCGGGUUCGAGUCCCGCGCGGCGCA
rnacentral:tRNA from 1 species